UGCCCAGCAACUCCUGUCCCUACCUCCUCGUGGUACCGGCCGGAACCUAUGAGCAACCUGGAGGAGGAGAACGCAGGGAGGG
rnacentral:ribozyme from 1 species